GACUUCCACGGACACGGCUCCCAGCGUGUCAGUGGUGGAACCCAAGUACCCUAAAGACAUCCCGGCCAUGCUACUGGGGCCUCCCAGGGCCGAUAAAGGCACCCAGGCACCCAAAUUGGCUGAAAACUUCUGUGUCUGCCAUUUGGCUACUGGGGACAUGCUGAGGGUCAUGGUGGCUUCUGGCUCAGAGCUGGGAAAAAAGCUGAAGGCAACUAUGGAUGCUGGGAAACUGAUGAGUGAUGAAAUGGUAGUAGAGCUCAUUGAGAAGAAUUUGGAGACCGCUUCAUGCAAAAAUGGUUUUCUCCUGGAUGGCUUCCCUCGGACUGUGAGGCAGGCAGAAAUGCUUGAUGACCUCAUGGAGAAGAGGAAAGAGAAGCUUGAUUCUGUGAUUGAAUUCAGCAUCCCAGACUCUCUGCUGAUCCGAAGAAUCACAGGAAGGCUUAUUCACCUCAAGAGUGGCCGUUCUUACCAUGAGGAGUUCAACCCUCCAAAGGAGCCGAUGAAAGAUGACGUCACCAAGGAACCCUUGAUUCGUCGAUCAGAUGAUAAUGAGAAGGCCUUGAAAAUCCGCCUGCAAGCCUACCACACUCAAACCACCCCACUCAUAGUACUACAGGAAACGGGGGAUCCACUCUGCCAUCAAUGCAUCCCAGACUCCUGAUGUCAUGUUCGCGUGCAUCCUAGCAGACUUCUCCAAAGCCACAUCCUAGUAUCAGAAGGCCAGGUGAGACUGCACCACUGCUCAUCACCCUGCGGCAUGAUCCCUGCUCUUAGGUGCUAGGCAGAAGAGAAGGGUGGUCAGGAAGGGCUGGUGAGGGGCUCAAAAGGAAUGCUUGGAAGAACAGCAGUGUUACUUUAGUGAGGUGGUUUCUUUUACACAUAAGUAGGAGUUUUUAAAGUGUAAUGGAAAAAUUAAUUUUUUAAAAAACACCAUGCUUGGAGGGUGGGGGUAGAAACAGAGAGAUACAGUAUUAUUUCUAAGGAAUCGGGUUCUCAUUUACUCUGGACUAGUGACAAUAUUUUUUAAAGCCAGUGCUCCUACGACCUCAGCUUUUAUCUCAGAACCCCCAUGGGUUCCAGACCAAAAGUACAGGAAAUCAAAUUAUUGUCCAGUCUGUCCAAUAGCUUGGAACAGGGAGGCUUUGACUACUGACCCUGGUUUUACACACUGUAAGAUCAAAAAACCAUCUCCACAUUUGAAAGAGAUAUAAGGUGCCUUCAUAGUGAUGGUGGAUCAACAAAUGAAGCUUACUGGAAUCAAGGGGAGGGGGAAGAGAAUGGAAUGGAAUGGAAAGGGAGGCUGACUCCCUUCCCCUGACCUACCACUGAUUCACCAGGCUACCUACUCACAUGAGUAACCUCUCCCAGCUACCCAGUACAUGCCACAAUCCUAUGCUCUUGCCUUCUUUUAUCUGCAGUGUGUGAAGGGGCCCUUUUAAAUUAAUGAGCAAAUGUCCCAAGCUAUAUCAUCCAAAGAUUGUCCUUUCCAUUCUCAAAUCCUGUGAGUGGGAUGACUCAACAGCACUGUGAUGUAUUAUUUUCAAUGAGGUGCCUUUCUUAACUGAUCAAAUGCUGCCUUGUUUGGCCCUAAGUCAAUAAAAUAUGUUAAUUUGU